AUACGGAGGGUGUGAGCGUUAAUCGGAAUUACUGGGCGUAAAGCGCGCGUAGGCGGUUUGGUCAGUCGGAUGGGAAAGCCCUGGGCUCAACCUGGGAAUGGCAUUCGAUACUGCCUGACUAGAGUAUGGUAGAGGGAAGUGGAAUUUCCGGUGUAGCGGUGAAAUGCGUAGAUAUCGGAAGGAACACCAGUGGCGAAGGCGACUUCCUGGGCCAAUACUGACGCUGAGGUGCGAAAGCGUGGGGAGCAAACAGGAUUAGAUACCCCGGUAGUCC
rnacentral:rRNA from 1 species